CAGACUAGGAAUGUACAAGGGG
rnacentral:piRNA from 1 species